UGGGGAAUCUUGCACAAUGGGCGCAAGCCUGAUGCAGCAACGCCGCGUGAACGAUGAAGGUCUUCGGAUCGUAAAGUUCUGUUGCAGGGGAAGUUAAUGACGGUACCCUGUGAGGAAGCCCCGGCUAACUACGUGCCAGCAGCCGCGGUAAUACGUAGGGGGCUAGCGUUAUCCGGAUUUACUGGGCGUAAAGGGUGCGUAGGUGGUCCUUCAAGUCGGUGGUUAAAGGCUACGGCUCAACCGUAGUAAGCCGCCGAAACUGGAGGAGUUGAGUGCAGGAGAGGAGAGUGGAAUUCCCAGUGUAGCGGUGGAAAGCGUAAAUAUUGGGAGGAAAACCAGUAGCGAAGGCGGCUUUCUGGACUGCAACUGACACUGAGGAACGAAAGGGUGGGUAGCAAACAGG
rnacentral:rRNA from 1 species